rnacentral:rRNA from 1 species
AUUGAACGCUGGCGGAAUGCUUUACACAUGCAAGUCGAACGGUAGAGGGGGCAACCCCUCGAGAGUGGCGAACGGGUGAGUAAUAUAUCGGAACGUGCCCAGUCGUGGGGGAUAACGUAGCGAAAGUUACGCUAAUACCGCAUACGAUCUAAGGAUGAGAGCGGGGGAUCGCAAGACCUCGCGCGAUUGGAGCGGCCGAUAUCAGAUUAGGUAGUUGGUGGGGUAAAGGCUCACCAAGCCAACGAACUGUAGCUGGUCUGAGAGGACGACCAGCCACGCUGGAACUGAGACACGGUCCAGACUCCUACGGGAGGCAGCAGUGGGGAAUUUUGGACAAUGGACGGAAGUCUGAGCCAGCCAUUCCGCGUGCAGGAUGAAGGCCCUCGGGUUGUAAACUGCUUUUGUACGGAACGAAAAGGUCUCUCUUAAUACGGGGGACUCAUGACGGUACCGUAAGAAUAAGCACCGGCUAACUACGUGCCAGCAGCCGCAGUAA